rnacentral:rRNA from 1 species
GUCUUGAGUACAGUAGAGGUGGGCGGAAUUCGUGGUGUAGCGGUGAAAUGCUUAGAUAUCACGAAGGACUCCGAUUGCGAAGGCAGCUCACUAGACUGCAACUGACACUGAUGCUCGAAAGUGUGGGUAUCAAACAGGAUUAGAUACCCUGGUAGUCCACACAGUAAACGAUGAAUACUCGCUGUUUGCGAUAUACAGUAAGCGGCCAAGCGAAAGCAUUAAGUAUUCCACCUGGGGAGUACGCCGGCAACGGUGAAACUCAAAGGAAUUGACGGGGGCCCGCACAAGCGGAGGAACAUGUGGUUUAAUUCGAUGAUACGCGAGGAACCUUACCCGGGCUUAAAUUGCAUUUGAAUAAUCUGGAAACAGGUUAGCCGCAAGGCAAAUGUGAAGGUGCUGCAUGGUUGUCGUCAGCUCGUGCCGUGAGGUGUCGGCUUAAGUGCCAUAACGAGCGCAACCCUUAUCUUUAGUUACUAACAGGUUAUGCUGAGGACUCUAGAGAGACUGCCGUCGUAAGAUGUGAGGAAGGUGGGGAUGACGUCAAAUCAGCACGGCCCUUACGUCCGGGGCUACACACGUGUUACAAUGGGGGGUACAGAAGGCAGCUACCUGGCGACAGGAUGCUAAUCCCAAAAACCUCUCUCAGUUCGGAUCGAAGUCUGCAACCCGACUUCGUGAAGCUGGAUUCGCUAGUAAUCGCGCAUCAGCCAUGGCGCGGUGAAUACGUUCCCGGGCCUUGUACACACCGCCCGUCAAGCCAUGAAAGCCGGGGGUACCUGAAGUACGUAACCGCAAGGAGCGUCCUAGGGUAAAACUGGUAAUUGGGGCUAAGUCGUAACAAGGUAACCA